UCACCUUUUACCUGUUUUGAA
rnacentral:piRNA from 1 species